CCCAAAUGUUUAUGAUUGCAUUGUAAAGAUCACUUAAAAUGACUUAAUAAUUUCUUUUAUAGAAUUUUGGUAACUUGCUUCCUUUGCAAGAUAUUCAACUUUGUUUCAUUUGCAAAUAUCACCGGUGUGACAUCAACAUCGCAUAAUGACAUUUUGAAAACGCAAUAAAAAAUUUUAUUGAUAAAAAAAUACCUUGAUAAAAAAUUUUUACAAUGAAAUACAGAGGGUUAUUUACCAGUUAUGAAAUUAAUACAUAUACAAGGGCAAUUUUUAGUUUUUUAGACACGUAUUCGUCAAGAAAACUAUACUUUUCUGAAAACUCAUUAUGUGAUGUGAUGUGAUGUGAUGUGAUGUCACAAGUUGAAUAUCGUGAAAAGGGGCAAGUUACGAAAAUUCUAUAAAAGAAAUUAUUAAGUCAUUUUAAGUGAUCUUUACAAUGCAACCAUAAACCUUUGGGGUGAAAUUUCGUGUCAUAGGCACUUUAAAAUAGGCAUGAAAUAGUAGAAAAUACGAUUUAUCAUUAAAAUGGCCUGGGAAUUCCCAGGAAACAAAUACAAAAUAAUUAUAUUCACGAUAUACUAGUAAUGUUACUCUGUUUGUGACGUCACCCUAGGGGUUUCCACAAGUUGCUCGGCAACUUUUUGGCAACUUUUCAUUUUAUGAGCAACUUUUGUUUUAAACGGCAACUUUUGUAACUUCGAGCACCUUUUCAUGAAUUUGACUCUUCGAGCACCUUUUCAUGA